UACGAGGGGGGCGAGCGUUGUUCGGAUUCAUUGGGCGUAAAGGGUGCGUAGGUGGCGCCGUAAGUCGGGUGUGAAAUUUCGGAGCUUAACUCCGAAACUGCAUUCGAUACUGCGGUGCUUGAGGACUGGAGAGGAGACUGGAAUUCAUGGUGUAGCAGUGAAAUGCGUAGAGAUCAUGAGGAAGACCAGUGGCGAAGGCGGGUCUCUGGACAGUUCCUGACACUGAGACACGAAGGCCAGGGGAGCAAACGGG
rnacentral:rRNA from 1 species